AGCAGUCCUUCUAAAAUCUCGCAGAAUCUCGCUCACGGCUUUACACCAGAGUUUAACAUGGAGCGUGUGCACGCGUCGCUGACAGUGAACCAACUCAAACGCAAUUUACUUGAAUGUGGUGCCAUAACAUCUGGAUGAAAAUGUGAAUUGACUGGAAGGUUACCCAAAGAAGGCCCAUAUAUCGGGGGCAAAGCCUGAAACUGUCGAUUUCAGGACCCCAGGACAGCCAACUUCAAGAGCAGGAUAAAAUGAUUACUUCAGGAAUCUUACCUAUCACUUCACAUCAGCGGCAAAGAUUGAUGUAGCCACCAGUAAUGCCUACCCUAAAGCUGACUUACAGGCGGCUGUGAUGGACAACAACUAUUGCCAAGUGCCAUGAAAAGAAUAAAGCAUGGAUAGAGGGAAUGAUGUUGAGGAACAAACAGCGAAGGACACUGAGUAAGCAAGUUAUAACAAGGAAAGAGCGCAAUCUGACACAAGGAGAGACAAUGGCGGAUCACUGCCUCAAGAUUUGGAGAGAUAAUUGCAGCUACAGAGAAGAAGUAUAUAAACAAACUGUAUGAAUCAUUGUUGUGUCCAAAACCAUUGCAGACACAUGACAGUUGGACCCGGACCUGAUUUCCCCUUUUGGAAUGUGUAUCUCGUGCACAAAUCUGGGCCUAAAGAAAACCUGCAAAUACUUUACUCAGUUAGAAGGCCAGAUGUUCAUUACGAAUCGCCCAUUCUGCUAUUUUGUUGUGUUUACAUUCAAAGAUCUGUUUGUGGGGUUGAUUCAUUCUGACACUGGAUAUUUUUCUACAUGUAUUUUGCCGAGGAUAACUUUUUUUAAUGAAAAACACUAUAGGAAGUACGUGUCAGCUAGUUUAUAGAAAGUACCCCUGUAUGAGAUGGUUUUAGCUGCAAUCACAAUUUUGAAGUGCCAUUUAAAAAAAAAUUUUUAACUAAAAUGAAAUAAUUUGGUGUUGCUAUAUUCUUUACAAAAAGUACUUAUGUGUUUAUGCUGUUUUUAAUAAUAUUUAACUGUAAUGAGAAAAAAGCUAUGUUGCUAUUUUGUAAAGUAUUUUUGGUGGGAUGAAAUAAUUUGAUAGUUGUAUUUACAGCAAAUAAUUUGGUUUUUCUGCUUUUAAAAGAAUUUUCAAAGUGCUGACAUAAUGUGGUGGUUCUAUUCAAGUAAAAUAAUUCAUAAGUACUAUUUUGUAAAAAGGAACAAAAAAACUGUUCAUUUGUAAAAUGUUUGCUUUCUUUAAUUUUUAUUUCUUAAACUGUUACAAAAAGUUUUCCAUACCUACAGUAAUCCAUUGGCUGAGAAAUUGCAGCUAUAUAAUCAGGAAAGUUAUAGCACAAAUAAAUUAUCUAAGUAUUACAUGGUUUCAUGGUUUUUACUAUGGACUGAAUAAUUAUUUUGUUUAAAUAAAACAUUUGGUUUUGCUGCUUUUUAAUGAAUUUUCAGAGCGAUGAAAUAAUAUGGUGUUUCUACUCAAGUAAAACAAUUCAGAAGUGCUAUUUUGUAAAAAAA